GAAAAGGAGAUAAUUCAUGUCGUUUUUAAAAAUUCAGAUGCCAUGAAUCUGAAAAGCUAGGAAGCAGAACGAACUUCCCAGGGAAGCAAAUUCCAUAGUCUCGACCUUGUGAUUCUGAAGGGCUGAAGUUUUAGAGGAGUGUUGCAGGCUUAAGACAUGAUUGGUGGUGGAUAAGGAAUGUGGAAAAAUGUGAUAGAUAAUUGUUAGAAUCGAGUUUCAUAGUUAUCAUGCUGGCUUAGCAAUCAUGUCGGCAGCACAGCUGGAACAACGUCGGAAGAAACAAGUGAGCUGAGGGAGCGGAAGAACGGACUAUUGACUUGAGGCUUCGCCAUAACCGGACCUCAUACCUUCUUUUGAUUUUCAUUGUGUCAACAUACUUUUUCCUUUAUCAAACUGUGUCUUUUCUCCAUUUUUCUUACAUCAGAAGUGUUAUAGCGAACUCCUCCUACAUGCAGAUUAGUUUAAAAAGAAAAAAUAAUAAUUUUUUUCCUUCCCUUCGCAUAGAAGAAGAAAAAAUAAUGAUCAGAAAGCUGAGUCGUAGAGGUUCUAUAGGAAGAUUUCGCCCGUUUGGUGGCAUUACUAAUUAUAAUAUUCUUUCGCCAGGAAUGGCCAUGUCAGAAUCGAUAGUUAUCAUGCUGGCUUAGCGGUCGUGUCAGCAGCACAGCUGGAACAACGAUGCCAGGAGAAACAAGGGAACUGAGGGAACGGAAGAACAGACUAUUCUGAUUCAAGGCUUCAUCACAACCUUCUUUUUUUUAUUGCAUCAAUAUACUUUUUCCUUUAUCAAAUUGUUUCCUUUUUCCAUUUUCUUACAAUAUUAGGACAUUUAUUUGAUUUAAUUUUAAAUAUAUGUAUUAAAACCGUAAGUUUAUAUGUGCUUACAAUAUUAAGGUUGUUGAAGACAUUAAUAUAGGAAGAAAUAUGAUCCCUUUGUUU